GACCGCGUAGCUCAGUUGGCAGAGCAUUGGGCUAGUAUUCCAAAGGUCGUAGUUUCGAUUCCCACCGCGGCCG
rnacentral:tRNA from 1 species